GGUUUGUAUUAAUUUCGAGAAGUGCAUCCAUUAUAUUUAUAAAAGAUCAGUGUUAUGGAGAUAUUCAUGCCUGAGAAAUUAAGCAAGGUGCGCCUCCGAAAUGAUGUCCACUACACAAGCAGGUCCCACAAUUUGUUGCAGUGUGAUUGCAUGGGAGAGGCCUUCCAUGAUUGGUUCUUUCUCCCAUCAUCUCCGGGCUGUGUUUGGCCAUCUUCCACUUUA
rnacentral:misc_RNA from 1 species